CAACUACUCCCUCUGUCCCAAAUUUCUUGUCUUAGAUUUGUCUAGAUACGGAUGUAUCUAAUACUAAAAUGUGACUUGAUACAUAUGUAUCUAGACAAAUCUAAGACAAGAAUCUUGGAAUGGAGGGAGUACUUU
rfam:Triticum aestivum genome assembly, contig: Triticum_aestivum_CS42_TGACv1_scaffold_579488_7BL